CGGGGUGUAGCUCAGUUGGUAGAGUGCGUGACUCGGGUUCACGAGGUCGCCGGUUCAAGUCCGGCCAUCCCGACCA
rnacentral:tRNA from 1 species